GUGCUUACUUCAGCAGCACCUGUACUAAAACUGGAAUGAUACAGAGAUGAGUAGCAUUGGCCCUGCACAAGAAUGAAGCACAAAAAAAAGCAUUCCAUGUUUUU
rnacentral:snRNA from 1 species